rnacentral:lncRNA from 1 species
UGCGGAGGUUAGGUUUUAAGUGUUGCAUGAAUGCCCAAAACAUAAUAAUAGUUUCAUGGUAAAUCAUUCUCUCAUUGGAGGAAGAAAGGCAAUAUAAUGUGAUGCAGUGUUAGUAUGUUUUGCUAUUUCACCUUAAAGUUGUGAUGCAGUGUUAGUAUGUUUUGCUAUUUCACCUUAAAGUUGGGACCUCAGCCCAUAGAUUUUAACUAGUGCCAUUCAUAAUUAUCAGAAACUCAUGUAUUUCCCUCGUGUUGUAAGGAUCUUGUGCCAGUCAUCAAGAACAAAAAACAAUCACCAAAAUUAUCUCAAAUGAAAGAACA